UCCUACGGGAGGCAGCAGUGAGGAAUAUUGGACAAUGGUCGGAAGACUGAUCCAGCCAUGCCGCGUGAAGGCUAAGGUCCUAUGGAUUGUAAACUUCUUUUGUACGAGAGGAAUUAGACGGACGUGUCCGUCGACGACAGUAUCGUACGAAUAAGCAUCGGCUAACUCCGUGCCAGCAGCCGCGGUAAUACGGAGGAUGCGAGCGUUAUCCGGAUUCAUUGGGUUUAAAGGGUGCGCAGGCGGACGAUUAAGUCAGCGGUGAAAAGUAUGCGCUCAACGCAUAUCGUGCCGUUGAAACUGGUUGACUAGGAUACGUAUGCUGUGGGAGGAAUGUGUAGUGUAGCGGUGAAAUGCAUAGAUAUUACACAGAACACCGAUUGCGAAGGCAUCUCACAAAUACGUCAUUGACGCUGAGGCACGAAAGUGCGGGGAUCAAACAGGAUUAGAUACCCUGGUAGUCC
rnacentral:rRNA from 1 species